ensembl:lncRNA
GCUGCCCGGCUGCCCGCCAUCAGCAGGCCCACAGCAAGAGUGACGGCCAUAUCGGAGUGGCGAGCAGCAGAGAGAGAGCCUCUCCGAGGCUAAUGGCUGAGAAUUGAAGCCCACCGGGAGAGCGAAGAUAGUCACUGCAAUAAAAGACCCAGCAGACUACAGCGGUUGACAUGUUGCUCAGCUGUGCUACACCUCCAGUUCUACUGAUUUCCUCUUCCAACUGUGACAACAAGGCUGGUGAUCCUUAUGGCUUGUCCCACUCUGGAAGCACCUCUAUGGCAAUGAAGCUGAGUAAAGAUGGAAAAUUCCUCAGCAGCAGGAAGUCAACUAAGACAGUGCCCUUCAGGAGAACCUCAUAUUCAGGGACCGGGCGAGCUAAGGGCAAGGGACAUGAGAAGGAGUCAGAGUACACAUUAAGCUUUGUCCUGGGGAUAGAUAAGGCACCAGAGGACCAGAGGACGGGACAGUGCAAUGAAAAGUCACACAGUGAUGCUGAAUAGGACCAAGUGGAUCAAAGAGGAACAGGACCUGUUGCUCAGGAGGACAGCUUCCUGAGCAACUAUGGACUGAAACUGCUAAAAACCAUGCAGAGCUUUCCUGUGCCAGACCCUUCCAUCACAUCAUUUCUCUCACGGAGCCAGCCAACUAGGGAUUGUAACUGCUACCAAAAGGUGGGCAGCUUCCUCCACAACACACUCCUGCUGAGAUCUGUCCUGGCACCAGUCUGAAAGCAACAGGACUAACCAACCAUGGUCUGAAGCUGCUGAAACUGUGAGCCCAAAUAAGCCUUUUCUUUUUAAGUUUAUUUAUCUCAGGUAUUUGUUACACCAACAGACCCCUACUACUACACAAGGUGAAAAGCUAUGUAUAUGAGUCAGAGAAUGACAGGACUGGUUUUAUUUUAAAAGUUCAGUUGGUUGCUAUGUGAAGAUGGGGGAAGAGAAAAGACCAAAACCCUAAACAGGAAUAAUACAGGCAAAGAAAUGAAAGAGAUUUCAAUUAAAUUUGUAAAAGUGGAGAUGAUGAGCCUGGUGGUUCUCUGAUAUGUUUUUGAAGGUAGAGCCAAGGGGAUCUUGAUCAUCCAGUCAUUUGCCUUGCCUUGAGGUUACUACCAUGCCUACAUAGCUCUUCUGAAGUCUUCUGUGUUGCAGCCUCUGAUAUCUGUGGGCUAGUAUUCAAGUAAAAAUGUACACACUGCCCUAGAACAAGCCACCAAUUUUAGUCAUAUUUAAGUCAAAACCCACACUUAAAAGUAAGAUGAUCCUUAAAAUAGAGUCUAAAAGUUUGUAUCACUGCCUACAACACAGAAAAUGUUCUAUAUGAUUACAGAGCAGUGUAGGACCUCAAAGCCCCAGUAAUUUCUACCCUCUACCUCAUUUUCUUGUCCCCAUUUAUACUGUGCAGCUAACUGUGACUGCCUAUCACUGUGAUUAGAAUCCCACAACAUCAGGACUGUUAGUUUGCCUGUCUGUAGAUAUUUAUGGGUAACUUCACAAUACUGAUUCCACUCAAGGGGAUUUGUCUAAACCAGUGGUGUCAAAUCUGUGGCACCUGUGUUAUUUAUUUUUCUUUUAAGAAAAAAAGAUGUUAAUGUACGAGUUGCUUUUUCUAAACUAAAACCUCAGUAUUCAAGUUUAAUUUCGGUGUUGCCACUUUGCAAUAAAUUGAGUGGGUUUUGGGUUGCAGUUUGGGCACUUGUCUCUAAAAGUUUGUCAUCACUGUCUAAACCAAGUCAGAUAAUUUUAUGUUCCUUGCUAAUGAUUGAUCGAAAUGCACAUAUAACCCACCAAGCUAACAAAAUGUUAGAAGAUAGUCUCCUGAAGGCUUCUAUUAAAGGAUUCAUUAUCCCUAGAAAAGAAACACAGAAAGAGAUAACCUAUUGUAUUUCUCUAGAUAUUAUUACAUCUGAAGAGUAAGACAUAUUCUGUGGUCAUUGUUAAGUAUGUAACCUUCCAUAAAAUAAGGCCAGUGUUGAAGAUGACAAAAAAGGAAAGAAUUUGAGUCCUUCGUGACAUUAUCUAGGGCCUAUUAUAUCUCUAGACUUCAGAUUUUGUGAGAUACAUUUUCAUCUAAUGCAGCUAGUUUGCAUUGCAGUUUUUGGUGACAUUCAGCCAAAUUAAUUCUACCUUUCACAAGGCAGAUAGUACGAAAGUUCAAGAAAGAAAACCCUUUUUUAAAUAUGCCUAUCUUUGAGUUUUUGAAUUUAUUUUACCAUACGUAUUUUAAUUGAUAAAAUAAACACAUAAAUAAAAAUAGAACUAGAUACAAAUAUAGAAAGAGAGACAGAGAUGAUAGGGAGGUAGAUGGCAAAAGAGAAAACAUGAAUAAAUAAAAAAAGAUUUUAAAAAGGAAGGGAAGAAAACAAAGGCAGAGACAUACUUCUGGAUGUGUAUGCAAGAAAUUUUCAGUGUUUUUACCUUUCAUUAAUAUUUCUUAAGCACCCAUUGUAUGGUCUGGACUGCUCCAGUUGCUGGUAAUUCAGAGGUGAAUGAAUGGCACUGACUAUUAAUAAUGACACUAUUACUAUGACACUUAUUCCCAAGGGCGAGAGAAUAAGCAAAAAUACAUGACUAAUCUCAGAUAAUGCUGAGUGCUAGGAGGCACAAAGCAAAGUAAGUUAUACAAAAUUACCAGGGAUACCAGGCAUGGUAGCACACACCUGCAACCUCAGUUACUCUGGAGGCUGAAGCAAGAGGCUUGCAAAUUCAAGGCUAGCCUGGGCACCUUAGCAAGAUCUUCUCUCAAAAUAAAAUGUAAAAGAACUGCAGAAGCAUUUCAGUGGUACAGAAAUUGGCAGUAUGCUUGAGGGCCUGGGUUGAAGUACAAAAAAAAAAAAAAAAGAAAUAAAGGAAUAUGGGGGACCUGGAGAAGGAGGGAAAGGCUUAAAAAUAUUAAGUCUAUGAAAAAGUACACCAAAUACAAGGAUUACAGUAAUUUUGUAAUAGCAAAAAUAAUAGUAGCUGCUAGAAAUAGCCCAAAUGUCCAUCUGCACAAUCCAUAGGGACCCAAUGAAGUAAAUUAUGAUACAUUUAUAUGGCAAAAUGUAUUAUUGUUAAAAAGAUUGUGUUAUGAUAAUAAAGAUGACUACACGACAUCCAAAGAUGUAUUACUAAUAAAGUAAAACACCUGGCUGUUGAAUAUUAUGUGAAAUAUUGCUUCUAUUUUAGAAUUAUAUAAAGGAUAGAUAGAUAUAAAUAGGUAGAGAUGUGGUUAAAUAGUUAUACAUAAAUAAAAAUAGAUAUCAUUAUAUAAAGAUAGAGAAGAUAGGGAGAUAUAGAGAUGGGAAAAGAGCAAAAGAUAGGGAAGGAAAGAAAGGUAGAGGUAUACUUCUAGGCGAUAUGUAAGAAAUUUGCAGUGUUUCUUACCUUUUGCAAGAGAGAUAGUAGAAAAGUUAAAAAAACACCACUUUUUAAAAAAUUUCAUGCCUAUUUGUUCAGUUUUAAAAUCAUACCAUAUGUAUUUUUAAUUCAUAAAAUAGUUACAUUUUCUCACUACUUGUAAUUUUUUUCAGCUCAAAUCAGAGUCCAGGGACAAUAUGUUGGUGGAGAUUACCAUUCAGGAGGAGUGGCUCUUGACAUACAGGGGAUCAGAGGAUAGAACCUGACUUGCAAUUGGUACCAGGCAAAAAAUAAGGCCAUCUGUCUAUCUGAUUUCACUUGGCACAUUCUACCCUCACCAACAAGAGUAAAUGCUACAGAAAAGAUUCUACCAUCAGAAGCUCCAUGAGACCAGAGAGAAGCUUUGUAUGGGACCAGCUGCCAGAAAUAUCCAC